GAUGAACGCUGGCGGCGUGCCUAAUACAUGCAAGUCGAGCGAACGGACGAGAAGCUUGCUUCUCUAAUGUUAGCGGCGGACGGGUGAGUAACACGUGGAUAACCUACUUAUAAGACUGGGAUAACUUCGGGAAACCGUAGCUAAUACCGGAUAAUAUUUUGAACCGCAUGGUUCAAAAGUGAAAGACGGUCUUGCUGUCACUUAUAGAUGGAUCCGCGCUGCAUUAGCUAGUUGGUAAGGUAACGGCUUACCAAGGCAACGAUGCAUAGCCGACCUGAGAGGGGGAACCGCCCCCCCGGAACUGAGGACCGGGCCAGACUCCCACGGGAGGCAGCAGUAGGGAAUCUUCCGCAAUGGGCGAAAGCCUGACGGAGCAACGCCGCGUGAGUGAUGAAGGUCUUCGGAUCGUAAAACUCUGUUAUUAGGGAAGAACAUAUGUGUAAGUAACUGUGCACAUCUUGACGGUACCUAAUCAGAAAGCCACGGCUAACUACGU
rnacentral:rRNA from 1 species